CGCAAUUUGUUUAUCCUCUUCCCCUUCCUCUACCCUCCGUUUGUUUCUUUCACUAUUCUUCUUCUUCUUGUUUAGAGUAGUCAUCUUCUUCUUCGAUCCACUCCAAGAAACGAGAGAAAGCGAGAGUACUAGAGAACGAUAAAUGAACAUAGUAAAAGACCCAAUGUAGAUUUAGAUAAUUUCACCCAGGGUGUCAUUAAGAAAGUAUGUAUAAAAAGAAAAAGAUCUUCUCCACCACUAAUCAUCCGUACAAAAACGCAAUUGGUUUUGUAGGACAUAAGAAUAUCAAAAGUUAGAAAAUUAAAGUGGACGACGGUUCCCGUUCCCGCGUCACAGAUGGAUGAACUCGACGAACAAGUUGAGGAUUCACACUAAGUCACUAACAAAUUUCUCUCCUUCUUCUCUUCUUCUUACGGAUUUAGGGUUCAUUCCACAAACCUCCAUCUCCUCUCAUUUCCUCAUUCUCUUGAUUCCUAUGGAAUUCUUAAACUUCUGCAUUCAUCCCCCCAAGAAAUCACUUCCGAUUAUGCUAAUAAGAUAACCCCCUUACUUGUCUAUCAUAUCUAUGAUAAUGUUGUUUCCCAAGCGAUGACGGUAGCUCUCCCUUCCCACUGAGAUUGAAGGUAUUCCGACAAAAAGUCGAAAGCGGGAAUGUAAGGGCAAAUCCAGUCUCCAGAUUUCCAUCCAGGUGGGAUGCUUGCAUCGGAUCCAUACUGAUCCGAACCCAUCAUGUAGGCGCCGUAAUCACCGGGAUACACGGACUUAAAUGCACCACAUCUAAAGCAGUUGGGGCGGCUGGCGUAAUUGUGAGCUCCACAGCUGACGGUGGUGCAGUACCAAUCUCCAGCCAACGCCUCCGUCUUGUUGUAACUGUAAGUUGAUGGAUCUGGGCCUCCAUACUUGGGGUAACCACAUCGAUGGCAUGCUUCUCUUUUUUUGAA